rnacentral:lncRNA from 1 species
AAACUUGAGCGGAAAUUGCUAAACCCUUUCUUCCACAAGUGUUGAAAAAAGUGACAUAUUUUAUUUUAUUUAAUAAACUUUAAUAUUUAGAGCAUGAUUUUACAGUAUUUUAGAAACAUUAUCGUUGCGACAAUUUGUUCUAUUUACACUGGGAGUGAAGGGGAGAGAAGCUAUGUUAAAUGUUUCUUUAGUUGGUUUAAACUAUUGGGUGGGUAUUAAGUAUGUUGGCGCAACAUGAAGUAAAAAUUAAA